rnacentral:rRNA from 1 species
AUUGAACGCUGGCGGCAGGCCUAACACAUGCAAGUCGAACGGUAACAGGAAGAAGCUUGCUUCUUUGCUGACGAGUGGCGGACGGGUGAGUAAUGUCUGGGAAACUGCCUGAUGGAGGGGGAUAACUACUGGAAACGGUAGCUAAUACCGCAUAACGUCGCAAGACCAAAGAGGGGGACCUUCGGGCCUCUUGCCAUCGGAUGUGCCCAGAUGGGAUUAGCUAGUAGGUGGGGUAACGGCUCACCUAGGCGACGAUCCCUAGCUGGUCUGAGAGGAUGACCAGCCACACUGGAACUGAGACACGGUCCAGACUCCUACGGGAGGCAGCAGUGGGGAAUAUUGCACAAUGGGCGCAAGCCUGAUGCAGCCAUGCCGCGUGUAUGAAGAAGGCCUUCGGGUUGUAAAGUACUUUCAGCGGGGAGGAAAGGAGUAAAGUUAAUACCUUUACUCAUUGACGUUACCCGCAGAAGAAGCACCGGCUAACUCCGUG